CCUUCUUCUUUCAUCUUCUUCUCUGUUUCUCUUCUCCUCAUCUUUGUCGAUUUUAUUCUCAGUGGUUUGAGCUUGAGUCUCUCGAAAUUAGAUCUUAGAAAUCUUGUAGUUGUUGAGUUGAGGGAGAAGGUGACGCUGCUGCUGUCGUUUGAGUUCUGGAAAAGCAGAAUUCUGGACAAAGCAAAGAAGUUGAGUUGAGUAUAGUAUGAAGCUGUAAUUGUUUGUUGGGUUUGUGUUCGAUCACAGGGAGGAAGGAAAGAUGGUGUUAUUAUUGAAUUUGUAAUGAUGUGGUUUAUAUGAGUUCUAGAUGAUCUGGGAUGCAAGCUGAAGUGAUUUUGAGUCCUGAGAUUGACAUGUUGGGUGGUUGUAAUUGAGUAGGGUGAUGUUGUCAAGUACAAGAACAAGAACUGAGCUGAAGUUUAGAGGAUUGACUAGGAUUGUUGGACUACAGGAACAUGGUUUUAAUUGAGGAACCGUGCUGAUGCUAUGAUGUUUAAAUUGAAGUUACAGGGUUUGGUGUUUGAAGAUAUAGUUCCGAAGAAUACUAGUGUCAUAAGGAGUUGCAGUUAAAGAUUAUGUAUGAUCUGUGCAGGUGUUAGGAAUGGAGAUAGUGGUGAACUGUAUUAUUUGCAGUUAGAAAUAGUGUACGUUUCAGUUAAGAAGUUUUACCACUAGAAUUGUAUUGCUGAAAUUGUUGUUAGUAAUAAUAAUUGUAUGAACUCUGGUAUUCUGAUUUGA